AAAAAAAUGUACAAAAAGUAUUUAACACUAAUGUUCGUGACGUAUUACACAAGGAAGUGCGUGUUUUCUUCAAUACACACCUGCAAUGGGCAAUGGAAUACACAAAUAUUUAAAUUGUGACGAAAAUGGUAAAUGUCUUGGAUAGUUAUUUGCUUUACCCUUCAUGCUAUGAAUUAUUAAUACUGCUUUCUUUUGGAAAUAUGAAUGACCAUAUACGUAAGAUUUAUUGACGAAAACAAGGAAAUUUACUAAAACAUCAAAAACAGGUGACUUUUCACUUUUUCAGAUUUCAUCAUGUUGUAAAUAAACAAGGAAUGGCAACACAUGGAGACCAACACUAUCAACCCUACCCACCCAAUUCUGUGGAAGAAACAAUCAAGGUAGGUAAAUAAUAUACAAUUUAAUUAAACUUCAUUUAGCAUACAAUGAAUGACCAAUGACAAAGUGUCAAUAUUAACAGAUGAGCCAUCCAGGUGUUUAUUUUAAACUUGUUACAUAUUUGACUGUAUUUAGAUAAAAUUAAUAUGUCAGUUAUAAAUUAAAAUGUAAACUUGCAGAAGAAUAAAACUAAAUUAAAGAUACCCAUGAUUAAGAAUGAUAAAAACUACAGGUGCAAUAUAUUAUAUAUGAUGAUAAAUUAGUAAUAUAAAAAAAUCAGAAAAGAAACUCUUAACUUGAAAGAUGUUGCCAUGUAAUGUUAAAAAAUCAAAUGAAUUCAUUUUAUGGACACAUAUUAAAAUAAUUCUGAAUUUGAGUGUAGCAUGAUGCCAUCAGUGGCACAAGGCUCUUUAGAGAAUACAUUUGUUUAUCUUAAUAUAAUAGUGGCUUUGUUUACCUAUAAGAGCAAAUAAAGAUGGAUCAGUUUUAAUGUAAUAAGCUAUAACUGUCUGGAUGUACAUAAUUUUGGUCACCUUUCAGUUUCUUCACAGUCUUGUUAAAAUUUCAUAUUGUGUCCGAAGAUUUGAAUGAUAAAUAAGGUCAGUCCCUAGUCAUCACUUUAAACAUAUCUGAAGUACCAAAACAAUUUCUACUCUGUUUUGCCCAAUGUCAGGCAACCAUGGGAAUGUCUCUAAAAUCUAGCGUUUUCAUCAAAAUGAAUAAUGCAACAUACAUUUAAUUUGAUGAUAAGGAGAUGUGGUAUCCCCAUAAGUUCAAAUGAAGUGGAUUUUUUUUUGCCUUCGACAAUGAGAAAAACCCAAGCUGUAUAGUUAUCUAUAGAAGGCCUGAUAUGAAAGAUAGGAUACAGUUCAAUUGAGAAUAACUAACAGCCUGCUUUUGAUCCUUCAGUGUUGUAGAUAGCUAGGUUGCAAAGGAAAUUUAAUACACAAAUUGAGGGGGAUAGGACCUUUAUCGGGACUCCCGGAUCAGGUGUUUUUAAGCUUGGGAUUUCUAGACUGACCCUGCCGGGGAACUGGGAAUUCUUUUUUCGAAUUUUGGGAUUUCAAUUUAUUUCAAUUCGGGACCUCAGGAUUACGUGUUUUGAAGCCCGGGAUUUCGGGAUCAGGACCCCUCCUAUCCCCCUCAUAAAAGGGCUGAAUAAAAAUAGUAUUUGGGUCAACAUUCACAAUUAAUUCUCCGUAGGCGGUAAUGGUAGCGUUUUCCUCCGUUGCUCAGUCCAUAUCGUUUACUUGAACAUGUCUGAUGAUGGCUCAAAUCGAAGCUGAUACAUUUAUACAUGUCUGGUUAAAUUUUCGGGGUGGCAAGUGAGAUUACUUUUUUCGCAAAUUGCUGGACCCCGGAAGAUGGUGAAAAAUGUCACUCUCCUCAUGAAAUAAUCCCAAAAUUCUGAUCAUAAAAUUCAAUAAAAAAAUUGUCCUUUCUAAUAAUUUAUUUCAGGUCAAAUCUACAUAUUUCUUUUCUCAUCACAUCAGCUCUAUAAAACAGUUCUUAUUGUUCAUUUAUGUCCAUUUUUAAAAUCACAGCAUCCACAAUUGUAUGGCGGACUAAUAUAUUUUUUUAAUUACGUCAUCUGAGUUCCUCAUCUCAAGGUCUAUUAGGGAUCCUGACCCAUUUGGGUGGUAUUAACAGCUUUUUAUAUGACCACUAAAAAUGUGCAUUUGUAUAAUGCUAUUGUGGUGGCAUUGUCUUUGUUGGUAGGGACAGGGUCGUCAUUUGAAUACACAUUUGAUUUCCAGACAAUAACUGUUAAGUUUAAGUGUAUGGAUCUCUUUGAAAUUAAACCAAACACGGUUCAAUACCAUGAAAGAAAGGUGGGGAUUGAUUUUGGGGGUUAUGGUACCAACAGCUUAGGAAAAAGUGGCCAAAAACACACAUCUUUUUUUUUUCCAGACAAUUAUUUGUGUGUAAGUUUAUGGAUCCCUUUGAAAUUGUACCUGAAUGUUCAAAACCACAACGGAAAAGCUGGAAUUGAGGAUUGGAGUAAAUGCUCCAAACGAUGAGCUUUAAUAGACACUGCUACAUUGAUGAAAUUGUGUCAUGAUGAUCUUACAAUUGUUUCAAAAUGGAUACUACUAGAUAAUUUGGGCAUUUGAAUUAACUCC
rnacentral:lncRNA from 1 species